AUCUGUUUAAGCCCUUCCAUAUCCAUAAAAUAUUCCAGUUUCUAUUCUUCACAGUUUGUUCGUGAAGGGUGACACGAUAGGGUUUGAACUAGGAGAGGAUGACUUGGAGGCUUCUGGGCUAUAUCGAGACCUAGAAUUUAGAAUGAUCGAUCAACUUCUUGAUAUUUUUCUCACUAGUUCUCCAGAUCCUACAGCUGCUACUUUUGAAUGAGUUGUAUGAUCUGUGAUUUCCAUGUCUUGAAUUUGUUUUCUUGUUUGUAACGUCCGCAGAUAGACGGACA